rnacentral:rRNA from 1 species
UCUUUUUCCACCGGAGCUUGCUCCACCGGAAAAAGAAGAGUGGCGAACGGGUGAGUAACACGUGGGUAACCUGCCCAUCAGAAGGGGAUAACACUUGGAAACAGGUGCUAAUACCGUAUAACAAUCGAAACCGCAUGGUUUUGAUUUGAAAGGCGCUUUCGGGUGUCGCUGAUGGAUGGACCCGCGGUGCAUUAGCUAGUUGGUGAGGUAACGGCUCACCAAGGCCACGAUGCAUAGCCGACCUGAGAGGGUGAUCGGCCACAUUGGGACUGAGACACGGCCCAAACUCCUACGGGAGGCAGCAGUAGGGAAUCUUCGGCAAUGGACGAAAGUCUGACCGAGCAACGCCGCGUGAGUGAAGAAGGUUUUCGGAUCGUAAAACUCUGUUGUUAGAGAAGAACAAGGAUGAGAGUAACUGUUCAUCCCUUGACGGUAUCUAACCAGAAAGCCACGGCUAACUACGUGCCAGCAGCCGCGGUAAUACGUAGGUGGCAAGCGUUGUCCGGAUUUAUUGGGCGUAAAGCGAGCGCAGGCGGUUUCUUAAGUCUGAUGUGAAAGCCCCCGGCUCAACCGGGGAGGGUCAUUGGAAACUGGGAGACUUGAGUGCAGAAGAGGAGAGUGGAAUUCCAUGUGUAGCGGUGAAAUGCGUAGAUAUAUGGAGGAACACCAGUGGCGAAGCGGCUCUCUGGUCUGUAACUGACGCUAAGGCUCGAAAGCGUGGGGAGCAAACAGGAUUAGAUACCCUGGUAGUCCACGCCGUAAACGAUGAGUGCUAAGUGUUGGAGGGUUUCCGCCCUUCAGUGCUGCAGCUAACGCAUUAAGCACUCCGCCUGGGG